UACGUAGGGUGCAAGCGUUUGUCCGGAAUUAUUGGGCGUAAAGAGCUCGUAGGCGGUCUGUCGCGUCUGCUGUGAAAACUCGGGGCUUAACCCCGGGCCUGCAGUGGGUACGGGCAGACUAGAGUGCGGUAGGGGAGACUGGAAUUCCGUGGUGUAGCGGUGAAAUGCGCAGAUAUCAGGAGGAACACCGGUGGCGAAGGCGGGUCUCUGGGCCGUAACU
rnacentral:rRNA from 1 species